UACGGAGGGUGCAAGCGUUGUUCGGAAUUACUGGGCGUAAAGGGCGUGCAGGCGGAAUUGUAAGUCGGGUGUGAAAGCCCAGGGCUCAACCCUGGAAGUGCAUUCGAUACUGCAAUUCUAGAGUAUGGGAGAGGAGAGUGGAAUUCCGAGUGUAGAGGUGAAAUUCGUAGAUAUUCGGAGGAACACCCGUGGCGAAGGCGACUCUCUGGACCAAUACUGACGCUGAGACGCGAAAGCGUGGGGAG
rnacentral:rRNA from 1 species